GGCAACUCGGUAGGGUCCCCUUCCACGCUGUGGAAGCUUCGUUCUUUUUCUCUUUGCAAUAAAUUUUGUUGCUGCUCACUGUUUGGGUCCACACUGUCUUUAUGAGCUGUAACACUCAUUGCGAAGGUCUGCAGGUUCACUCCUGAAGCCAGCGAGACCACGAACCCACCAGGAGGAACAAACAACUCCAGACCAGCCGCCUUAAGAGCUGUAACACUCACUGUGAAGGUCUGUAGCUUCACUCUUAAGCCAGCGAGACCACGAACCCACCAGAAGGAAAAAACUUUAAACACUUCCGAAUAUCAGAAGGAACAAACUCCGGACACGCCACCUUUAAGAACUGUAACACUCACCGCGAGGGUCCGCGGCUUCAUCCUUGAAGUCAGUGAGACCAAGAAUCCACCAAUUCCGGACACAGCGUGAUCUCGGCUCAUUGCAAGCUCCGCCUCCCAGGUUCACGUCAUUCUCCUGCCUCAGCCUCCCCAGCAGAUGGGACUACAGGCGCAUGCUGCCACGCCCGGCUAAAUUUUUUUUUGUUUUUAGUAGAGAUGGGGUUUCACCAUGUUUGUCAGGAUGGUCUGACCUCCUGACCUUGUGAUCCGCCCGCCUCGGUCUCCCAAAGUGCCCGGAUUACAGGCGUGAGCCACUGCGCCUGGCCUCUUUUUUUUUUUUCUUCGAGAUGGAGUCUCACUCUGUCGCCCAGGCUGGCAGCGUGAUGGCGCGAUCUCGGCUCCCUGCAACCUCUGCCUCCUGGGUUCCAGUGAUUCUCUUGCCUCAGCCUCCCGAGUAGCUGGGAAUGCAGGUGCCCGCCAUCAUGCCUGGCUAAUUUUUGUAUUUUUAGUAGAGACAGGGUUUUACCAUUUUGGCCAGGCUGGUCUCGAACUCCUGACCUCAGGUGAUCUGCCCAUCUCAGCCUCCCAAAGUGCUGGGAUUACAGGCGUGGGCCACCACACCCAGCCACAGAGGCUACUUUCUGCCCACCUCUCCCAGGCUGGGCUCUCUAGCCUUGCACUUCUGCUCAUGAAGACUAAGGGUUGCCAAUGUCACAAUGGCAGACACUGGCGGGUCCCAGUAGGUCUGCUUCUGCUUCAUGGGGGUAGCCGUGGAUAGCACAGUGGGCAGCCCUGGAAACAAAAUCCCCUUUGACAUCCAAAAUGAAGCUUGCCUAGAGCAGUGUCCGGUCCAUGGUAAGUUCUGUAGAGCUGUUAGCUGUUAUCAUCUACCCUGGCUUCAGCCCCUAGUUAUGCUAAAGUGGGUGAGUGAAUGAAGGAGGUGGGAAUUGAUGACAGUCUUUUGAAGGUUAAGCAUUUGAACGAAUUCUUAACCUUCAAGCAAGGCUGGAUGGAGCACGUGUCUGUAAAGAUUUAGGAAUAGUGAUGAUCGAGGUGUCUUGCAGAGAUGUAAGUGGAGCAGAUGGAAUAGGGUGAAGAUUAAAGUAAGUAGUGGGAGCAGGUCUGUGGGAGUUAGAUUGUUUAGAGCCUGGGAUGCUAGGCUAAGGUUUUUUUUUUGUUUUUUUUUUAAUUGCAGUGGCGUGAUCUCAGCUCACUGCAACCUCCUCCUCUCGGGUUCAAACAAUUCCCGUGCCUCAGCCUCCCCAGUAGCUGGGAUUACAGGCGUGUACCACCUUGCCCAGCUAAUUUUUGUAUCUUUAAUAGAGACGGGUUUCACCAUGUUGACCAGGCUGGUCUCAAACUCCUGACUUCAAGUGAGCCGCCUGCCUUGGCCUACCAAAGUGCUGGGGUUACAGGCAUGAGCUUACCACACCUGGCCCCGACAACUUGGAUUUGAAUGCAGACAUCAUUUUGCUAUCAUAGAUUAAGACUUGGUAUAGUUGAACUCUGACUUUGCAUUUGGGUUCUGUGCCAUUUCUUUCUCUCCUUCCCUCGAUAUCCCUCCCUCCCUUCCUUCCUUCCUUCUUCCUUCCUUCCUUCCUUUCCUCCCUCGUUCUAUACCUCCCUCCCUCCUUUCCUUUUUUCUUCCCUCUCUCCCUUCCUCCCUUCCUUCCUUCUUUCCCUCUUUAUAUUUCCCUGUGCAUUUUCCCAAUUCUAACAUUCUGUGCAUUUUAUCUUUCAUGCUGUUGGCAACUAAUUAUCAUUUCCUGAGAAUCUUCACAGCAAUUCGUGAGAAGGUUGAAAAUGUGACAAGUUCUUCUCCUUUUUUUGUUUAAAUGGGAUUAGCCAGCUAACUGCACAUUCUAUGCAGAAGCAAAGUGUCUAAUUUCUCACUUCUGAAGUUGUCA
rnacentral:lncRNA from 1 species